GACGAACGCUGGCGGCGUGCUUAACACAUGCAAGUCGAACGGAAAGGCCCUGCUUUUGUGGGGUGCUCGAGUGGCGAACGGGUGAGUAACACGUGAGUAACCUGCCCUUGACUUUGGGAUAACUUCAGGAAACUGGGGCUAAUAUCGGAUAGGAGCUCCUGCUGCAUGGUGGGGGUUGGAAAGUUUCGGCGGUUGGGGAUGGACUCGCGGCUUAAGAGCUUGUUGGUGGGGUAGUGGCUUACCAAGGCUUUGACGGGUAGCCGGCCUGAGAGGGUGACCGGCCACAUUGGGACUGAGAUACGGCCCAGACUCCUACGGGAGGCAGCAGUGGGGAAUAUUGCACAAUGGGCGGAAGCCUGAUGCAGCAACGCCGCGUGCGGGAUGACGGCCUUCGGGUUGUAAACCGCUUUCGCCUGUGACGAAGCGUGAGUGACGGUAAUGGGUAAAGAAGCACCGGCUAACUACGUG
rnacentral:rRNA from 1 species